UAAAAUCUGUAAUUGGAGGGCUUCAUCAUACCUAUUUUGUUGGCAAUGCGCCUAUGGGCCAUAUUGCUUCCGGACCAACCGAAGACUCACCUGAUUCUCCAUCCUUAAAGCGAUUUUUUUUCAAAUCACAAGUAAUUGGUACCAACGUACUCAGUAUUGGGAAAUGUGAGGACCAUGUAUGGGUGACCAAGGAUGAAUUGUUGGAAUAUUUUCCGGAGCAUGCUGAUUUUUUCAACAAGAUGAUUAUUAGCUGAGAGGUA
rnacentral:misc_RNA from 1 species